rnacentral:rRNA from 1 species
UAGGGAAUCUUCCACAAUGGACGCAAGUCUGAUGGAGCAACGCCGCGUGAGUGAAGAAGGUCUUCGGAUCGUAAAGCUCUGUUGUUGGUGAAGAAGGAUAGAGGCAGUAACUGGUCUUUAUUUGACGGUAAUCAACCAGAAAGUCACGGCUAACUACGUGCCAGCAGCCGCGGUAAUACGUAGGUGGCAAGCGUUGUCCGGAUUUAUUGGGCGUAAAGCGAGCGCAGGCGGAAUGAUAAGUCUGAUGUGAAAGCCCACGGCUCAACCGUGGAACUGCAUCGGAAACUGUCAUUCUUGAGUGCAGAAGAGGAGAGUGGAACUCCAUGUGUAGCGGUGGAAUGCGUAGAUAUAUGGAAGAACACCAGUGGCGAAGGCGGCUCUCUGGUCUGCAACUGACGCUGAGGCUCGAAAGCAUGGGUAGCGAACAGGAUUAGAUACCCUGGUGAGUCCAUGCC